CGCAGAGUGUAUACAGAGAGAGAGAGAGAGAGAGAGAGAGAGAGAGAGAGCGGCUUCCUAUGCCAUUCAUUUCUCUCUCGGGAUUUUGAAGAUUCAAUGCUUUGAUAUGUGCCUUACUUUGAUCAAGUCCCUUGAUUUCUCUUAAAGGUUUGUGGGUUUGUUUCGAUCUUUCGUUUUUUAUGUUUUUUUGAAAUUUCGAAUGUUCUGGGUUUCGAUUGUUUUUCAGAUUUUCGGACGUUUUCUUAUUGUUCUUCGUGUUCUAGAUCAUGAGUUUUUCUGAUUUCAUUGAAAUUUUAAUUUGGGGUUUUUGAUUUCUGUCGUUUGAUGGUGAUUUCCUAUUGGAGGUGAUCAAAAUGGGAUCAAAGGAGAACAACCCAGCUCUCGUUAGGCCUUCAAUUUUCCAAGAAAAGAUGCUGUGGAAUGUAAGAAAAACGUGCCAUAUCUGCCACAUAGACCCGUGAGAAGGUUGCUAGCCAAAGAAUUUGAUACUAAUAUUUCAAUGUUUGUAUAGGAGGUUUGCACAAUUGCUUCAGUAGCAGCCGAAGGAAACCAAGGAAGUGUCUGUGAGUUCAUUUGCUGCAAAUUCAAAGGCUUGUGAUGCUCAUGUGCCAAUGUUCGUUAAGCACACCCAAGUAGGAUGGAAGAAGAUGAAAAUGUGGAGGAUGAGGACCCCAUUAUGGACAGCAGCAGCUCUAAGGAUCCGCUUAAUUUUGUUAAGUACAUAGCUGACAUCUACGCUCACUACGGCAAAACUGAGAUGAGCUUCGAAACUGAAAGCACUGUAUGAAUCCUAACUGAAAGCUGAUGAAACUUUGGACUAACCGGACUAGCGCAGUGGACAUUUCUGCAUUUGGACCCCCGAUCUGUAGGAAAGUGUAUCUAGGAAUUUCACAGUGAUGUAUAAUUUAUGGGGUGGGAGUGAGUUGAGUGGAGCGAGUGGGUCCAAAUGCAGAAACUUCAUCAGAAUUGCCCUGGUAUGUUUUCUAAAAUCCCCCUCAAUAACUGUUGUUUGUUUGAAAUUUCUGUUGCUUUAACUGCUUUAAAUUCUCUGCCAGUUGAUAAUGUAGAACUGAUGUAUGUGGUUGAUGAUAAUGUAAACUUGCUGCUGGAUGCAGGAUCCAGUUUUACUUUUA